rnacentral:rRNA from 1 species
UACGUAGGGGGCAAGCGUUGUCCGGAAUCAUUGGGCGUAAAGCGCGUGUAGGCGGCCCGGUAAGUCCGCUGUGAAAGUCGGGGGCUCAACCCUCGAAUGCCGGUGGAUACUGUCGGACUAGAGUCCGGAAGAGGCGAGUGGAAUUCCCGGUGUAGCGGUGAAAUGCGCAGAUAUCGGGAGGAACACCAAUGGCGAAGGCAGCUCGCUGGGACGGUACUGACGCUGAGGCGCGAAAGCGUGGGGAGCAAACAGG